AUACCGCAUAAGACCACAGGACCGCAUGGUCCAGUGGUAAAAAUUCCGGUGGUAUGAGAUGGACCCGCGUCUGAUUAGCUAGUUGGUAAGGUAACGGCUUACCAAGGCGACGAUCAGUAGCCGACCUGAGAGGGUGACCGGCCACAUUGGGACUGAGACACGGCCCAAACUCCUACGGGAGGCAGCAGUGGGGAAUAUUGCACAAUGGGGAAACCCUGAUGCAGCGACGCCGCGUGAGCGAUGAAGUAUUUCGGUAUGUAAAGCUCUAUCAGCAGGGAAGAAUUAGGACGGUACCUGACUAAGAAGCACCGGCUAAAUACGUGCCAGCAGCCGCGGUAAUACGUAUGGUGCAAGCGUUAUCCGGAUUUACUGGGUGUAAAGGGAGCGUAGACGGAGAGGCAAGUCUGAUGUGAAAACCCGGGGCUCAACCCCGGGACUGCAUUGGAAACUGUUUCUCUAGAGUGUCGGAGAGGUAAGUGGAAUUCCUAGUGUAGCGGUGAAAUGCGUAGAUAUUAGGAGGACACCAGUGGCGAAGGCG
rnacentral:rRNA from 1 species